CUUAACAGAGAAUUGCAGCUGCACAUUUUGGAACUUGCUGAUAUUCUCGUGGAGAGACCAUCACAAUAUGCAAGGAGAGUGGAAGAAAUAUUUCUUAUAUUCAAGAACUUGCAUCAUCUUCUGAACUCAUUGCGCCCUCAUCAGGCUAGGGUAACACUAAUUCACAUUUUAGAACUUCAGAUAAAACGACGUAAACAAGCUGUUGAGGAUAUAAAGAGGAGGAGAGAAAAAGCACAGGCACUUCUGAAGGAGUCCCUUGAAUCGUUUGAGGACACUGGUGCAUCUCUUAUGUUGAAAUAGGGAGUGCUCAUGUAUGUUCUUACUCAAUGAUCAAAGCCACUUAGACAGUUUCAUCUAAUACCUUUAGGGAGGGUCAGGAAUCCCACUGGUCAGAGUUUUUCGGACAGACAGUUGCAUCUAGUACCUUUGUGCUUUUAUAUCAGAAACUUCUGGUUUUAAUUACCUUCUAUGCUAGUGUCGAAUGGAAAGUAGUCCAAUCUGCUGUUACUGAAUGAUGGUUUCCAAGCACUAAUUCAAAUGGCUUGGAUAGAUGGAGGAUAGAUUAGAUUCAUUUCAAGUGGCAUAAUCGUACUCUGUUCUAUGGCUCUGUAACUUUUACCCAUCUAAUAUCAAUUGCAGUGAAUUCUGACAAACUCAAGAGAUUAUAUACACACAACCCUAC